rnacentral:rRNA from 1 species
GGGUUGUGAGGUUAAGCGACUAAGCGUACACGGUGGAUGCCCUGGCAGUCAGAGGCGAUGAAGGACGUGCUAAUCUGCGAUAAGCGCCGGUAAGGUGAUAUGAACCGUUAUAACCGGCGAUUUCCGAAUGGGGAAACCCAGUGUGACUCGUCACACUAUCAUUAACUGAAUCCAUAGGUUAAUGAGGCGAACCGGGGGAACUGAAACAUCUAAGUACCCCGAGGAAAAGAAAUCAACCGAGAUUCCCCCAGUAGCGGCGAGCGAACGGGGAGGAGCCCAGAGCCUGAAUCAGCAUGUGUGUUAGUGGAAGCGUCUGGAAAGGCGCGCGAUACAGGGUGACAGCCCCGUACACAAAAGCGCAUGUGCUGUGAGCUCGAUGAGUAGGGCGGGACACGUGGUAUCCUGUCUGAAUAUGGGGGGACCAUCCUCCAAGGCUAAAUACUCCUGACUGACCGAUAGUGAACCAGUACCGUGAGGGAAAGGCGAAAAGAACCCCGGCGAGGGGAGUGAAAAAGAACCUGAAACCGUGUACGUACAAGCAGUGGGAGCACAGGUUUACCUGUGUGACUGCGUACCUUUUG